rnacentral:ncRNA from 1 species
UCGAGCCGUAUGCGGGGAAAGCUCGCACGUACGGUUCUUCGGGGGCUGCGUUUCCGAGAGGAAACGCGGCUACCCAAU